rnacentral:rRNA from 1 species
GUAUGGUGAUAAGACCAGAGAUGUCACAAUGGAUAAUCCGCAGCGAAGUCCUCUUGUUGCUUAACGGCAACGGUGGAGCGCGUUCAGAGACUAGAUGUUCGUGGGCUGCCGAUUGGUGGCUUAAGGUAUAGUCCUUCCCGACUUGAAAGGGUCUGGGGUUAAAGUAGAUGUUCUGGGCCGCACGCGCGCUACACUGACAAAGCCAGCGAGUCUAUCACCUUGGCCGGAAGGUCCGGGUAAUCUUGUGAAAC